rnacentral:rRNA from 1 species
UGAGGAAUAUUGGUCAAUGGACGCAAGUCUGAACCAGCCAUGCCGCGUGAAGGAUGAAGGUCCUCUGGAUUGUAAACUUCUUUUAUAGGGGACGAAAAAAGGGAAUUCUUUCUCGUCUGACGGUACCCUAGGAAUAAGCACCGGCUAACUCCGUGCCAGCAGCCGCGGUAAUACGGAGGGUGCAAGCGUUAUCCGGAUUUACUGGGUUUAAAGGGUGCGUAGGUGGGUCUGUAAGUCAGUGGUGAAAUCUUCGAGCUUAACUCGGAAACUGCCAUUGAUACUAUAGGUCUUGAAUCAUCUGGAGGUGAGCGGAAUAUGUCAUGUAGCGGUGAAAUGCUUAGAUAUGACAUAGAACACCGAUUGCGAAGGCAGCUCACUACGGAUGUAUUGACACUGAGGCACGAAAGCGUGGGGAUCAAACA